rnacentral:rRNA from 1 species
GUAGGUGGCAAGCGUUGUCCGGGAAUUAUUGGGCGUAAAGCGCGCGCAGGCGGUUCGUUUAAGUCUGAUGUGAAAGCCCACGGGCUCAACCGUGGAGGGUCAUUGGAAACUGGAGAACUUGAGUACAGAAGAGGAAAGCGGAAUUCCACGUGUAGCGGUGAAAUGCGUAGAGAUGUGGAGGAACACCAGUGGCGAAGGCGGCUUUCUGGUCUGUAACUGACGCUGAGGCGCGAAAGCGUGGGGAGCAAACAGGAUUAGAUACCCUGGUAGUCCACGCCGUAAACAAUGAGUGCUAAGUGUUAGGGGGUUUCCGCCCCUUAGUGCUGCAGCUAACGCAUUAAGCACUCCGCCUGGGGAGUACGGCCGCAAAGGCUG